AUUGAACGCUGGCGGCAGGCCUAACACAUGCAAGUCGAGCGGAUGAAGGGAGCUUGCUCCUGGAUUCAGCGGCGGACGGGUGAGUAAUGCCUAGGAAUCUGCCUGGUAGUGGGGGAUAACGUCCGGAAACGGGCGCUAAUACCGCAUACGUCCUGAGGGAGAAAGUGGGGGAUCUUCGGACCUCACGCUAUCAGAUGAGCCUAGGUCGGAUUAGCUAGUUGGUGGGGUAAAGGCCUACCAAGGCGACGAUCCGUAACUGGUCUGAGAGGAUGAUCAGUCACACUGGAACUGAGACACGGUCCAGACUCCUACGGGAGGCAGCAGUGGGGAAUAUUGGACAAUGGGCGAAAGCCUGAUCCAGCAAUGCCGCGUGUGUGAAGAAGGUCUUCGGAUUGUAAAGCACUUUAAGUUGGGAGGAAGGGCAGUAAGUUAAUACCUUGCUGUUUUGACGUUACCAACAGAAUAAGCACCGGCUAACUUCGUG
rnacentral:rRNA from 1 species